AGAGUUUGAUCAUGGCUCAGAACGUACGCUGGCGGCACGCCUAACACAUGCAAGUCGAACGAAGUAGCAAUACUUAGUGGCAGACGGGUGAGUAACAUGUAGGUAUCUGCCCUUUGGCCUGGAAUAACACGAGGAAACUUGUGCUAAUACCGGAUAAGUCUUUACGGAGAAAGCUUUAUGCACCAUUGGAUGAGCCUGCACUUGAUUAGUUUGUUGGUGGGGUAAUGGCCUACCAAGACUGUGAUCAAUAGCUGAUUUGAGAGGAUGAUCAGUCACAUUGGGACUGAGACACGGCCCAAACUCCUACGGGAGGCAGCAGUGGGGAAUCUUGCACAAUGGAGGAAACUCUGAUGCAGCGAUGCCGCGUGAGUGAAGAAGGCCCUUGGGUUGUAAAGCUCUUUCGUCGGGGAAGAAAAUGACUGUACCCGAAUAAGAAGGUCCGGCUAACUUCGUGCCAGCAGCCGCGGUAAUACGAAGGGACCUAGCGUAGUUCGGAAUUACUGGGCUUAAAGAGUUCGUAGGUGGUUGAAAAAGUUAGUGGUGAAAUCCCAGAGCUUAACUCUGGAACUGCCAUUAAAACUUUUCAGCUAGAGUAUGAUAGAGGAAAGCAGAAUUUCUAGUGUAGAGGUGAAAUUCGUAGAUAUUAGAAAGAAUACCAAUUGCGAAGGCAGCUUUCUGGAUCAUUACUGACACUGAGGAACGAAAGCAUGGGUAGCGAAGAGGAUUAGAUACCCUCGUAGUCCAUGCCGUAAACGAUGUGUGUUAGACGUUGGAAAUUUAUUUUCAGUGUCGCAGGGAAACCGAUAAACACACCGCCUGGGGAGUACGACCGCAAGGUUAAAACUCAAAUGAAUUGACGGGGACCCGCAUAAGUAGUGGAGCAUGUGGUUUAAUUCGAAGAUACGCGCAGAACCUUACCAACACUUGACAUGUUCGUCGCGACUCUAAGAGAUUAGAGUUUUCGGUUCGGCCGGACGAAACACAGGUGCUGCAUGGCUGUCGUCAGCUCGUGUCGUGAGAUGUUGGGUUAAGUCCCGCAACGAGCGCAACCCUCACUUUUAGUUGCCAUCAUUAAGUUGGGCACUCUGAAAGAACUGCCAGUGAUAAGCUGGAGGAAGGUGGGGAUGACGUCAAGUCCUCAUGGCCCUUACGUGUUGGGCUACACACGUGCUACAAUGGUAUCUACAACAGGAAGCAAGACUGCGAAGUUAAGCAAAUCCCUAAAAGAUACCUCAGUUCGGAUUGCACUCUGCAACUCGAGUGCAUGAAGCUGGAAUUACUAGUAAUCGUGGAUCAGCGUGCCACGGUGAAUGCGUUCCCGGGUCUUGUACACACCGCCCGUCACACCAUGGGAGUUGGUUCUACCUUAAGGCAAGGUUUCAAACCCUUGACCACGGUAUAGUCAGCGACUGGGGUGAAGUCGUAACAAAGGUAACC
rnacentral:rRNA from 1 species